rnacentral:lncRNA from 1 species
GCCGAUGAAAAGAAAAUGAGGAAAGACAAAGCAACUAAAUGAAUUUCAAUACGUUAUUUAAUAUGAAUUCAAUGCUCAAAUAAGCAACAUAACUCCUAUAUUUUUGUAUCCUAAAUCUUAUCAAUAUGUACUCUCAAAUUCUAUAAAGAAACGAUGCAACGGUUGUUUUCACAUAUAAAAGUAAGAACUUUAACUUUGAGAAGUCCAAUAACUAUAAAAUGACAUCAAGUGGACCCAAUAAAAAAACGUGACCAUGAAUGAGAUUAAUGGACUAUCAAUUCUUAUUUUAAACCUUAAUAUGUUCCAAGUUCCUUAUAAGGUUCUCACUUAAAUCACACUCAAUAACGAUAACAAUAAAUUUGAGACAUGCUUAGAGAAGAAUACCACAUUGAAUUUAAGCCAAGGAAGCAGUAACAACCUAAACAAAGCAACCACGGACUAAUUACUUAACACAAACCAAAUAGCAGAGAAUUUCAUGGCUAAAUUUUCAGUGUUUUACAAAGCAAAACAAGAAACAACUCAAGAGUACAAGCAAAGGACCUUAAAACUAAAGUUACACAUUAUAAAUCUAAAAAUCAAUUAAAGUUUAACACUUGAGCACAAAAUGUUCGACAGCUAUGUCGAGCUUUAGAUAAAAAAAGGUCCCAAAUCUACCCAUAAUGAUCAGCCCUACGAGAUAUUUAUCUUUUCAGCAACUAAAAUAUACUAGCAGAAUGUUAUUUAAUUACCAAUAUGUAUAUAACCAUUACAGACUGUAGACUAGAAAUAUGAAUAGUAUGUCGAACGUUUAGUCAAUAUAGUAAAGCGCAUCAAACAUGUAUAAAGAGCUGAAAUGAUCCUCAUAUUCAAUCAAUCACUAUAAAAGCUGCAUUACAAUAUUUAAAGGUUACCUGAAAUGUAGAAAAUACCAAAAUAAAGCAGAAUGAAGUGAAAUUCCAUCAUAAAUGACAGCCAAAAUAGCAACAAAUCAGCAACUUUUAACCCGAGAAACAGCCCAAAAAAGACCCUUAAACUUAGUAGGUUUAAAAGAAAAAGGAUCCCAGCAAUCAACUUCAAUACUCUUAUGAUUUUGAAAGGUUUUGCUCACAGAGAAUGCACUCACAAAAGCUCAACACUUUCAGCUUAUUACUAAAUGUUUAGAUCCUAUUUUUACUCUCAAAGUUGCCUCUUUUUAGUGUAUAAGAGAUGUCUUUUUCAAGUGUGUUCAAGAAACUUCAAAGAUAUCAAAGUGUGUCCUUUUUUUAAGAGUGAAAGGUCCUCCUUUAUAAAGAUUUUUGUUUGGCUAAAAAUAUGUCCAAAACCAGAAUUUUGGUCAAUGAACAGUUUUUCUUACCAGUUGUGGAUAGAAUUUUGGAGUACUGUACUCCAAAAUAGUCCGCAACAGUAAAAGCAACCAAACCAAGAACCUUACACUCAAGUAUUCUUUUUCUUUCUCAAGUAUUCUUUUUCUUUCCCUUUCCUCUUAAUUUUCCAAACCAGGUUCUAUGUUUAAACCAAAACACAUGACUCAUAUUACUCAAAUCUUACUAAAAUACACUCAUAACUAUUGAAGUGAUAAUACACUAAGUAUUUCAACACAGACUAUCAUCAAUCAUUAAACCUAUAGAUUAUAGCUUCAUUAGAACAAAUGAACUCUUGCUUGAAAAGAUCAAUGAUUCAACUAAAUAAAUCAACCAUUUCAGAAUGAAUUGAGAUCAUUGAUGCCAUUGAAUAAUGAUCAAUUAACACAAAUAAACAAGCUAACUGAACUUCAUAACCUAUAUCAAUCAGUUAAUAGAAAAACUAACAAACAAAACUAAGAGCUAAUCAUUCUGACUGUCAAACGAUGAUCCUGAAGCAACAUAAAACAACCAAACUAUCAACUGCUAAUCCUAAACCAAAACACGAUUUGAAUCUAGCAAAUACCACCUAGUUAAACAUGAAAAGAUAAAAUAAGAUAAACUAACAGAAUUGAUCAUGUUUCCCAGGAUAUGCCAAUCAAAAAGGAUAACACGACUAAUACUAAUCAUACCAAACGAGUGCAUAUUAACCAAAAGACUUAAACUUUGAAACAAAAUGCAUAAUUCAAACUAAUAUACAUGAGUCGAGACUAACACUUAAAACUACCUAUAAAUGAUAUAAACAAAUUGAAUUAAAACUAAAACCAAUUGAAAAAUACUACCCAAUUACGUGAUAUUAAACAAGACGGAAACUAAAAUACGAUCCUAGUCUUAAUAACAGAACAAAAAUCAGAAGAAUAAAGAAAAGGGAUAGGAUUAUACCAAACGAGAGAAGUCGAUGCCAAAUCGAACGAGGAGAUACCGAGGACAACGAGUUGUGACUUUCUGACAUUGAAGCGCAAGUUUCCAUUUAGCAGGUGCCAAAACAUUGAAGUUUUGGCAUCAUGCUAAAAGGGAACGAUUGCUUUUAAGUCGAGAUGAAGCUAGAAUGGAGAAGCACUGGUGGUCUUGGAUUAUCGCGGCAGCGGGGUGGUCAGCAGUGGAGGGGUAUGAAUUUUGGGGGUAAAAUUAAAGGGGAAAUAUACAUAUCUUAGAGAUAUACAUGUUCAUGUGAGGCUAUGAGGUAGGAGUCGCUGAUUCAUCACGAAAUUGAGAAAGAAAGAAAGAAAAAUUUGGUGGCUAGGGUUUCGGAUUUGGUCGGAUUUUGCAGAGUUUGAGAGGGAUUUUGAGGGUUUGGGUUAGAGAUAUGGAUAAACAAGGAGGAUACAAGGAGAUGGAGAAAAAACGGGGUUUAUGGGAGGUCAUCCACCGCCGAUGGGCGAUUUUCAGCGGUGGAGUAAGGGCGGUGGGUGGUUCAUUGAGAGAUGAAAGAGUAAAGAGAGAAGUGAUGAAAUUGAUAAUAUGGCAAAUAUAUGGGCAAAUUUUAGCUUCUUAAGAUUUUAAAUACUAAUAAUGAAGAUCAA